rnacentral:rRNA from 1 species
UUUAAGAANUUUUGAUNNCUUGGAUAAGGASGAAASRCUKGGGCGGGCGUNGAUUUAANCACAGUGCAAGUVAGAACGUAUGAAAGCCCGUUCRGGNGBGGGAUUAGUGGUGACACRGRUGAGUUDACAGCGUGAGCAAUCUGCCAUUCACUGUGGGACAAGMCCCUGRAAGACGGGGUCUAAUACNGRAUGAGASGCGCUCGGGCAUCCGAUGUGCGUAGAAAGCUCCGGCGGUGAAGGAUGAGCCCGUCGGCCUAUCAGCUUGUUGGUGAGGUAAUGGCUCUCCCAAGCCGACGACGGGUAGCCGMCCUGAGAGGGMGACCGGCCACACUGGGRCUGAGACGCGGCCCAGACUCUUACGGGAGGCAGCAGUGGGGAAUAUUGCACAAUGGGCGCAAGCCUGAUGCAGCGACGCCGCGUGAGGGAUGACGGCCUUCGGGUUGUAAACCUCUUUCAGCAGGGAAGAAGCGCAAGUGACGGUACCUGCAGAAGAAGCGCCGGCUAAUUACGUGCCAGCAGCCGCGGUAAUACGUAGGGCGCAAGCGUUGUCCGGAAUUAUUGGGCGUAAAGAGCUCGUAGGCGGCUUGUCACGUCGAUUGUGAAAGCCCGAGGCUUAACCUCGGSCCUGCAGUCGAUANCGGGCACGGCUAGAUGUGUGGUACGGGGAGAUCGGAAUUCCUGGUGUACGCGGUGAAAUGCGCAGAUAUACAGGAGGAAUCACCCCGGUGGCGAAGGGCGGAUACUCCUGGGCCCAUUAMCUAAACGNUACGACGCAAAGGNGG